AUUUUUGAGACCAGUUCUUACUAAAUCACUAAAUUGCCCAGGCUGGGCUUGAAUUUUCAAUCCUCCUGCCUCAGCCUCCCAGCAUGCUAGGUUCACAGGCCUUCACCAUGUCCUGCCUUUUCUUUUCUAACCUGAAGUUCUUGGGAAAGAUCGGAUCUCUGCUUAGCAUGGCACCUCUCAGAGGCCCAGGGAAGCCAUGGUGAAUCCACUCUGUCACAGGGUGUUUCUGGGUUUUGCACUGUGCCACCCUCUUCAACAGGGCGUCCCCGAGGAUGGGGCUAUCUCCCCUUCAGAGUCCCUGAAGGCAAUGGCUUCUGGCCUUAAACAAGACUUACUGCCCCCCUCCCCUGACUGGCUCCCCUGGCAUCUGGGCAUUCCAUGCAGGACACCGUCUGUCACCCUCUGAUGAAUGAGCCUGCUAAGAAUAACUUAGCUCUCAUGGUCUCUGAAGGACACAGGGAGGAAGGCGAGGGCUGGGCCAGCGAGUACAGGCUCAACCUGUUCAUUCAGCAGCACUUCCGGGGUGCCCUCUAGGCAUUGGAGGAGAUGUGGGGAGCCUCUCAGCGCACCCUGCUUUGGAGUGUCCCUGAGGCUCUUAGGACAGAAGUGUCAGCCCCUCCAUUCCUUCAGAAGCUCCUCCCCCUCUGGAGCAGAGACUUGGAAAUGAGGUGCUUGGGUGUAGGGCUACUUCUGUAGGUCCCAGCAGUUAACCUGUGGCACACAUGUAUACACACGUAUGCACAUGGUUUCAUUCUAGGGUCUCAGACCCCUGAUUCCUCUCCUGAUCACACAAUCUGAUGCCCCAAGGGCCAGUAGCCCAGAACCUGGGUGCUGACUGCUCAAGGCCAGGCAGGGACUACAGGCUGCUAAAGCCACGGUAGGGGAGCAAAAGCUGAAACUGAGGCCCUUAAACCUCAGUGCAAGCAAGGUGUAGUGGCACAUGCCUGUAAACCCAGCAAUUGGAAGACGAGGCAGGAGGACCACUAAGAGUUGAAGGCCAGCCUGGCCGGGCUGCAUAGCCAGACCCUGCCUCAAACAAAUCAAAACAAAACAAAACUUGGACAAAAGACGCAGUUCACCCCUUCCCUGAUGGAAGCCAGGGGGCUCAUGGAGGGCAGCAGGCUGGGGAUCUCUGGGGGCCUUCCCUGAGUCCCUUCCCAUGCCCAAGACAAGGGCAGAGGGGAGGUGAACACCAGGACAGUACUCCCGAGGAGACCCAGGGACCCUCGCAGCCAUCUGCCUACCUGAAGAGGGCUGGGUAUAUAGUUCAGUGCAAAAACCCUGAGUUCAAUCCCCAGUGCUGAAAACAAACAAAAAAUAGUAAAACAUGGUCAGAAUGUGGCCCAGGCAGCCUCUGAGGCUGAGUGUCUAGUUUAAGCAGGUCCAAGAGGAGCCAGACUUGGAAGUGCUGAUGCUGGAAAUGAAUGAAUGAGGCUGGAUGGAGUGAGGGUGGGUGAAUGCACACGUGGAACAUGGCCCAUGAGCACAACAGCGGAUGUCACAUGCUACACAGACCUUGGACCUUGUCUCGGAACUGACUGUGACCAUGGCACCACACCAGAAGUCCUACAGACCACGAACCCGGGCCUGUCCCCAGGGCAGCACACGCCUGUGCAGGAAAGCACCUUUGAAUCACGCCGUCAGCUGACAGCAGGGACCAGACACCUCCCCAGACUUCUGGAAAGCAGUGUGACCGCCUUGUGGUAACCACCACCUGAGGCCCAUAGAGGGCAGAGAGGCAGUGAGGAGCUUUGCAGAUGGGAGGAGCUCGGAGAAUACCCUCCCACUCAAGAACUGCACCUCUGUUUGCUCUGCUUCAAAGGAAGGGUCUCAGCCUCCAGCUCACCAGGUGGCACUAGCUGGCAUCUCUCUCCAGCCCCGUCCGUCCUCUGCUAGGAACCAGCCCUCUCGGGCACAGCAGCACCCAGGUGGAUAAAACUUGAUGAUCCC